CUGCUUGCAGUCACAAUUUUUGGUAAUUGUACGGAUGUUCAAUACCUUCUAAUUUGUUCUGUUGUUUCUGCUGCUGUCAAUUCUAGGCUUGUCAGUUCUAGGCUUGCUUCAUAGAAUGCCACGGUUAAAACAGAUGCAAAUAUAUGUAUUGCUCGACUUCCAAUCCUGCACUUUAUCUAUGUUGCUUCCUCUGAACUCUGUGGUCGCACAUUGCACAUGCUGUUCCAACAUCUGAUUAUUGCAUAUGCUGGUGGAGGGCCACCGUCGCCGUCCGCCGGGGUGGCUCGCCACCGCUGGGGUGUGGUACUGCGCCGUGCCGGACGCCGCUUGCUUUCCUCCCGCCGACCUCCUUUCCUUCGAGAUCUCUCCAGAGGUCGUUCUCCUGGCCGACCUAGCUUGUGUGCCUGCCGCCGCUUCACACACAAGCGCUGCACCUUUCUCGUCCCGGCUAGCGUCCCGAUUGCCACCUCUUGCCUCUCCAUUCUCCCCUACGUCUGGCUGUCCUCCUCCUCCCCUUGCUUCCCUGACGUUGCCUCCAAUGUUGGUAAGGUAAUGCGUGCCAUUUCUAGAAUCUGCAUGUUUGGACUAUUUUUUUAUUCAUGAAUUCUAGAUUUUGUUCAAUUUUCUGUCUCAACUCUGGAAGUUUGCAGCAGCACUUAUUUUAUGGACCCAGGUUCAAAUUUGGGUUCAAUAUUGUCAACAGAAGUUGUUUAUCUUGACCUGUGCAUUUUGUCAUUCUUUAACAAAAUGUGAGCAGAAGUAAUUCAGAAGAAGACACUGUAUGAUCAAUAACAGUGAUGACCAUCAACCUUCUGCAGAAUUUGUGAUUCGUAGAAGCAUGGCAAUAUUUAGACUCCGUAGAAGUGAAAGACUUUGUAUGAUCAUUAACAACAGUGGCCAUCAAUUGACAUGAACAGGCAGUACUCCAGCAAACUGUUGCAUAAUUUUAGAAAUUCAGAAACUUUAAAAAUUCAGCACACACUUGCAUAAUUCAGAAACUUUUUGACGCAGUACUUUUAGAAAUUCAGAAACAUGGAGCAAGCAAGAAGCAAAAUUUGAUAAACUUAUGUUUACCUUUCUAUUUCAGAACGGUUUAGACAUGGUAUUGGCUGAUGAUAAAUUCGCUACAAUUGUUGCAGUAAGAUUCACCCUGUGUCGCAGUGGCUUAUAAUUGAUGAAGCUGAUCGCAAACUUGUGCCAAAUUUUGAGGAGGACAUGAAACAAAUAUUUAAGUGCCUCCCUCGGGCUCUCUGCUCGAAAUGUCUGCUGAGCAUCUUCUUCAUUGAGCCAAAAUCAAUUGCUUGGUGCAGUUUCAGAUUGUUCUUACUAUCCAAUACUAAUUUAUAAAUGGCUACAAUCUCAAGAAGGUUCCGCCGAUUCUAGAAGCACACGGCUGAAUGGAAUCCAACGGAACCAAUGCUACAUCAGGGUGCACUGUUCAAGCAUUUUGAUUGGCCCGGGAGAAAUGAGGACACUGCAUCAGACAACCUUUUGCUUACUAACCUCUUAAAUAUUUGAAGUGAGUUCCAGUUCUUGAUUUUUCAAGAAACUGAAGAGGAGCGUUUGAGGAAAGAGGAGAAGUGGGAGGCACAGGAAGCAAAGAAUUGGAGAAGGGAGAGGGAAAAGGAGAAGUUUCUCAAGAAGAGUACUAGAAACGCCUUACCAGUAGGCUUUCGUUGCAAUGUUUUCAUGGAUUAUUGGAUGAGUCUUCCUCUUGAUUGUUUUUUCAGGUUCAGUAACAUGAUGACAUCCGAUUAAUAUCUUGCUGUUCAGGAGGUUUUGACUAUAUGAAAAAUAUUGUUUUCUUGCCAGUGAAGAUUAGCAUGUUUGUACGGCUACCCUAGAGUAAAUUGCCGUAUUCAGAUCAAUUGUUGGAUUAUGUCAUGAACUGCUAAAAGAUAGUGAUGAUCCCUUGAGUCUAUUAUAAGUACCAUUUUAGUUUGAUGUCCAUUUUAUUGAUUUGUUUAUGAUGAUAAUUGAGAAAUAAAGAAGCAUUGUGGCAUAUCAAAUAUUAUCAUACAUGGAAAAUAUCCUUUGGAACAUGGUGGUAAUUACAUCUGGUUAUGUA